AUGAACGCUAGCGGCAGGCCUAACACAUGCAAGUCGAGGGGUAGCAGAAUUAAGCUUGCUUAAUUGCUGACGACCGGCGCACGGGUGCGUAACGCGUAUGCAACCUACCUUAUACUGGGGUAUAGCCCGGAGAAAUUCGGAUUAAUCCCCCAUAGUACUGUUUGAUCGCAUGGUCAGACAGUUAAAGCAUUGCGGUAUAAGAUGGGCAUGCGUCCUAUUAGCUAGAUGGUGAGGUAACGGCUCACCAUGGCUACGAUAGGUAGGGGGCCUGAGAGGGUGGUCCCCCACACUGGUACUGAGACACGGACCAGACUCCUACGGGAGGCAGCAGUGAGGAAUAUUGGUCAAUGGGCGCAAGCCUGAACCAGCCAUGCCGCGUGCAGGAAGAAUGCCCUAUGGGUUGUAAACUGCUUUUAUUUGGGAAUAAACCUCUUUACGUGUAGAGAGCUGAAGGUACCAAAUGAAUAAGCACCGGCUAACUCCGUG
rnacentral:rRNA from 1 species